GACGAACGCUGGCGGCGUGCCUAAUACAUGCAAGUUGAGCGCUGAAGGUUGGUACUUGUACCAACUGGAUGAGCAGCGAACGGGUGAGUAACGCGUGGGGAAUCUGCCUUUGAGCGGGGGACAACAUUUGGAAACGAAUGCUAAUACCGCAUAAAAACUUUAAACACAAGUUUUAAGUUUGAAAGAUGCAAUUGCAUCACUCAAAGAUGAUCCCGCGUUGUAUUAGCUAGUUGGUGAGGUAAAGGCUCACCAAGGCGAUGAUACAUAGCCGACCUGAGAGGGUGAUCGGCCACAGUGGGACUGAGACACGGCCCAAACUCCUACGGGAGGCAGCAGUAGGGAAUCUUCGGCAAUGGACGAAAGUCUGACCGAGCAACGCCGCGUGAGGGAAGAAGGUUGUCGGAUCGUAAAACUCGGUUGGUAGAGAAGAACGUUGGUGAGAGUGGAAAGCUCAUCAAGUGACGGUAACUACCCAGAAAGGGACGGCUAACUACGUG
rnacentral:rRNA from 1 species